rnacentral:rRNA from 1 species
AAUCAACGCUGGCGGCGCGCUUAACACAUGCAAGUCGCACGAGAAGGGGAGCAAUCCUGUGUAAAGUGGCGUACGGGUGAGUAACACGUGGGAAUCUACCUCUUGGCGGGGAAUAACCCUGGGACACCGGGGCUAAUACCGCAUAAGCUCGUGAGAGGAAAGCAGCAAUGCACCGAGAGAGGAGCCCGCGGCCGAUUAGCUAGUUGGUGGGGUAAUGGCUCACCAAGGCGAAGAUCGGUAGCCGGCCUGAGAGGGCACACGGCCACACUGGCACUGAAACACGGGCCAGACUCCUACGGGAGGCAGCAGUGGGGAAUCUUGCACAAUGGGGGAAACCCUGAUGCAGCGACGCCGCGUGAGCGAUGAAGCCCUUCGGGGUGUAAAGCUCUUUCGACAGGAACGAUAAUGACGGUACCUGGAGAAGAAGCUGCGGCUAACUACGUG